rnacentral:lncRNA from 1 species
GGCCUCAACGACCCAAAGGCUUUCAGGGGCUGCUUCUAGAGGGUUACUUUAAAAGUUCAAACAAAUGGAUUGAGAAACAGCUUUUUGGAACCUACCCUGCUCUUAAAAAGAUUGUAACGAGAUUGUUGAAUUAUUUCCCAUUGAGUUAUUUGAGUUGAUCUCCAAAAACAAGUCAUAUGGAGCUCUGUUACCAGGGACUCACCAACAUGGGCUGUAUUUGCACC